rnacentral:rRNA from 1 species
AGGACGAACGCUGGCGGCGUGCUUAACACAUGCAAGUCACGGGGGUCCGCAAGGACAACCGGCGAACGGGUGCGUAACACGUGAGCAACCUGCCGAUUUGAGGGGGAUAGCCGGCCCAACGGCCGGGUAAUACCGCAUACGCUCAUUGAGUCUCAUGACUUGAUGAGGAAACCUCCGGGGCAGAUCGAGGGGCUCGCGGCCUAUCAGCUAGUUGGCGGUGUAAUGGACCACCAAGGCGACGACGGGUAGC